rnacentral:rRNA from 1 species
CCUACGGGUGGCAGCAGUGAGGAAUAUUGGUCAAUGGGCGCUAGCCUGAACCAGCCAAGUAGCGUGAAGGAUGACUGCCCUAUGGGUUGUAAACUUCUUUUAUAUGGGAAUAAAGUGCAGUAUGUAUAAUGCUUUGCAUGUACCUUAUGAAUAAGGAUCGGCUAACUCCGUGCCAGCAGCCGCGGUAAUACGGAGGAUCCGAGCGUUAUCCGGAUUUGGUGGGUUGAAAGGGAGCGUAGGCGGGUUGUUAAGUCAGUUGUGAAAGCUUGCGGCUCAACCGUACAAUUGAAGUUGAUACUGGCAGCCUAGAGUACUGUAGAGGUAGGCAGAAUUCGUGGUGUAGCGGUGAAAUGCUUAGAUAUCACGAAGAACUCCGAUUGCGAAGGCAGCCUGCUGGACUAUAACUGACGCUGAUGCUCGAAAGUGUGGGUAUCAAACAGGAUUAGAUACCCCGGUAGUC